rnacentral:rRNA from 1 species
CAGCAGCCGCGGUAAUACGAAGGGUGCAAGCGUUAAUCGGAAUUACUGGGCGUAAAGCGUGCGUAGGCGGUGAGUUAAGUCUGCUGUGAAAUCCCCGGGCUCAACCUGGGAAUGGCAGUGGAUACUGGGUCACUAGAGUGUGGUAGAGGAUAGUGGAAUUUCCGGUGUAGCAGUGAAAUGCGUAGAGAUCGGAAGGAACAUCUGUGGCGAAGGCGACUAUCUGGGCCAACACUGACACUGAGGCACGAAAGCGUGGGGAGCAAACAGGAUUAGAUACCCGCGUAGUCCCUGUCUCUUAUAC